GGAGUCAUAGAAUUCCACUAUCAAGAUACUGUUUGGUCUGGUGUAUGAUGGGGACCCAGAUUCAUCCUCUAAGAUGGCUGUAUCCUGAAAGGAGCCAAACCUGUUGUUCUUCUAUGACAGAAGAAUAAGAGAUCACUGUCUGCCACCUAACUUCACAUAAAGUGUUGCUCUGAGUGUAUCCUGCUGUGAAGCCCAUUUUAUCUGGGUGAGGACACAUUUCGUCUCCUGACCUCUAACAAGUCUGUGAAAGCCAACAACUGCCAGCAUCACGUGAUUUGAGAGUUACAAAGAGGACAUCACCAUUGAAGGCAGGAACAAAACAUUCCCAACAGCGACACUGCCAGUUCAAAGCCACAUCUCUUCAAAGAGGAUGAAAGCAGAAACUGAACAAAAACUUCUUUCCUGGAGUUUAACUGUGGAAGGAUGGCAGGGAUGGACCAGGCUGCUUACAUGCAGUCGUGACCCCUGUUUGUAGAUGCUCUCAAGAGUCCCCACAUUUAAUUGUUGCUGCUAGAUCUCAUGCCUUGUGAAAUUGCAUUGUCAAUCAUUCUGAGGAACUGAAGAACUGCAAGUCUUAGAGGACAUGAAGAGUGAUGUUAUAUCUCUUCAAUACCUGCAUUUCGCUGCUCAGGAGAAGGCAGCUUAACCCUGCACCACAAAAGCCACUGGAGGAGAGACAAGGGCUUUGUCCUGGAUGCAUUCACAUUCUCCACUGGAUGGCAGCCAGCACGUAUGGGAGGUGGAGCAGUGCUGGGCCCACUUGGCUGAGGACUUUCCUUGGUUCUCAUAGCAGGCUGAGAGGACCAAGGAAUCAACUGUCUUCCACCUAGAACAACCCUCAAUCAAUGGCUGACAAGCUGCACAAAACUAAUGUCCAUACCCAGAGAUUACAGGCUGGCAAACUGGCUCCAUACUCUUGAUUCCUCUGUCUCAGUUUCUCAAGUAUGCAAUACUGUGUUUGGCCUCUGAAACAACUCAUUAUUGAAGGACAACGUACCCAACUAAGAACAGAAAACAUGGAUGCGAAUAUGGUUGAUUAAAACAGGUAGAAUUUAGAAUUCUAGGAUUCUCGGAUUUCAUUUCAGGAACAUAUGGCAAGCCUGUGGAAACACAGAUUGCUGCACAGAAGGCUAGAGUUUCUAGUUCAGGAGGUGGUGGAGGCUGUAUUUCUGAUGGGCUCCCAGGUCAUCCUGACGCAGCACAUCCUAAUGAGGCUCCUGCUCUAGAAACUGAAGAAGAAAAAGAAGAAAGAAAACUGGAGGUGCAGAACAUGAAAUUUGGACUUUUCUCUCUGCUUUUUGCUUUCUUUAGAACACUAAGGGACAAGGUAGUCAAAUCGUUUUUGUUGUUGUUUUUCCAGUCUCCCUGUCUACCAAGGAAUGCCUUGACAAGGUUCUGUAACCCAGGCUGGACUUGGACUGGCAUUGCUCAGGUCUUACCUUCCAACAUGACUGGGGUUAUCGAUGAGCUCGAUCACUUGGCAAGAACGUUUUUGUUUCGCAGUAGAAAUGUUAGUGUUGGAUUGAUGGAGAGCCCUAAUUUCAAACAUUCUUUUCGAUCACGUUGGAUUGUCCCUGUUGCUCUCAUUUCUUCCCAUGUCAGAUGUAGGAUCUAAACUCACUGGUGCAUUUUAUACCAGCUCACGAUAUUAUUGUACUCACACCAUUCUUUGUUUGCCCAUGCUUGUUGGCGUUUGUUCACAACUUUUUUCAGGGGCUUGUAAGGUCCUAAUUUUCUACUCAGGCAGCAGUUUAGAGCAGGUAUAGACAUUUUUCUGACAGUUUGAGUGAGACUUGAGGGGAACUCUGAGGACAUGGGCCUCAUCAGCUUGUCAACAGAAUUCUAGCAUCAGCUACAUUUUAAGUUUUUCAGCAAUUCACACAACAGGGAAACUGUGCCCCUGGUAAGCCCACUUGAGUGCUACAAGUUCUGAAACCAUGGUAAUAGCCCAGGGGUUUUGACAGAAUCUGAGUGUUGCCUACAUAAUUCACCAUAGGAAGAUUAUGUUAGCUAAAAAAAUAAAAAUAAAAGUAU